rnacentral:lncRNA from 1 species
AGGAGGUAGAUAAUUUUGAGUUUGUUUUAAAGGAUAAUCCUAUCUAAGAAGGAGAAGAAGAGAAAGAAGAUGAAGAAGUGGAAGAAGAGGAAGAGUCAGACGAAGAAUCCAAAGGACAUCAAACAUCUGAAGAGGCCAAUGAAUAGUGCUCCUCGCUUGUGAUGAACUUCUCCAUCUCUAACUCAUUUUAAAUACUUUCCUUGUAUUGCCAU